CCCGGGAAACCGGGGCUAAUACCGGAUGGUUGUUUGAACCGCAUGGUUCAGACAUAAAAGGUGGCUUCGGCUACCACUUACAGAUGGACCCGCGGCGCAUUAGCUAGUUGGUGAGGUAACGGCUCACAAGGCGACGAUGCGUAGCCGACCUGAGAGGGUGAUCGGCCACACUGGGACUGAGACACGGCCCAGACUCCUACGGGAGGCAGCAGUAGGGAAUCUUCCGCAAUGGACGAAAGUCUGACGGAGCACGCGCGUGAGUGAUGAAGGUUUUCGGAUCGUAAAGCUCUGUUGUCUAGGGAAGAACAAGUGCCGUUCAAAUAGGGCGGCACCUUGACGGUACCUAACCAGAAAGCCACGGCUAACUACGUGCCAGCAGCCCGGUAAUACGUAGGUGGCAAGCGUUGUCCGGAAUUAUUGGGCGUAAAGGGCUCGCAGGCGGUUUCUUAAGUCUGAUGUGAAAGCCCCCGGCUCAACCGGGGAGGGUCAUUGGAAACUGGGGAACUUGGUGCAGAAGAGGAGAGUGGAAUUCCACGUGUAGCGGUGAAAUGCGUAGAGAUGUGGAGGAACACCAGUGGCGAAGGCGACUCUCUGGUCUGUAACUGACGCUGAGGAGCGAAAGCGUGGGGAGCGAACAGGAUUAGAUACCCUGGUAGUCCACGCCGUAAACGAUGAGUGCUAAGUGUUAGGGGGUUUCCGCCCCUUAGUCUGCAGCUAACGCAUUUAAGCACUCCGCCUGGGGAGUACGGUCGCAAGACUGAAACUCAAAGGAAUUGACGGGGGCCCGCACAA
rnacentral:rRNA from 1 species